GACGAACGCUGGCGGCGUGCUUAACACAUGCAAGUCGACCGGAAAGGCCCUGCUUGCCGGGUACUCGAGUGGCGAACGGGUGAGUAACACGUGGGUGAUCUGCCCUGCACUUCGGGAUACGCCUGGGCAACUGGGUCUAAUACCGGAUAGGAGCCAUUUUUAGUGUGAUGGUUGGAAAGUUUUUUCGGUGUAGGAUGAGCUCGCGGCCUAUCAGCUUGUUGGUGGGGUAAUGGCCUACCAAGGCGGCGGCGGGUAGCCGGCCUGGGAGGGUGGACGGCCACAUUGGGACUGAGGUACGGCCCAGACUCCGACGGGAGGCAGCAGGGGGGAAUAGUGCACAAUGGGCGCAAGCCUGAUGCAGCGACGCCGCGGGGGGGAUGACGGCCUUCGGGUUGGAAACGCCUUUCGCUAGGGACGAAGCUUUUUGUGACGGUACCUAGAUAAGAAGCACCGGCUAACUACGUG
rnacentral:rRNA from 1 species